rnacentral:lncRNA from 1 species
CACUUCCCCUGGAGCCUAACACUGGCUGCUUAUUGAGUCUGUCAGCAUUUCCUCCGUGGAGCUCAGACUGACUAAUUAGUCUUCCCCUCCUGAUGACUGAAGCCACAGGGCAUAGACAGGCCAGCACUUCUCCACAAGGCAUCUGCUGAGGAAAGGCACGGCCGAGCCCUUAGGCUGGUCUUGUCAACUCUGCGUCUCUGGCUUUGCAGGAUGUGGAUUUUGGAUGAGCUGGAAAUAGAACCAUUUCCUUCUAGCUCGGAGUUGCAGGGAGAGAAGGUAUGAUACAAAAGAAUUU